UCUUUCAGGUGGUUUGUUGUUCUGUACU
rnacentral:piRNA from 2 species